rnacentral:siRNA from 1 species
UCUACUACUUUCUCCGGUACCU